rnacentral:lncRNA from 1 species
AGACAGCUUUCCACAGGCAAGGGGCAUGUGGCAUGUGUCCUGUUAGCAACAGGAAUUGUAACUAGUUUCCAAAAGCUGAAAAAGGCUUGUGUUGUUGAUUGUACCCGCAUUGCCAAUU